rnacentral:lncRNA from 1 species
CAGGUUAAGGAUCCGGUUUUGUCACUGAAGCAGCUUGGGUCACUGCUAUGGCGUGGAUUCCAUCCCUGGCUUGGGAAGUUCUACAUGCCCCAGGUACUAGAAGUCCAAGAUCAUGGUGCCAGCAGAUUCAGCAUCUAGUGAGAACCUCCAGUGAACCCGCUUCCUCUUCUCUCACAUGGCAGGAGAGCUCCAGGAGGGACCAUGCCUCAGAAGUCUCCUGACCGACACCAGGGGCUCAGGACACCAGUGGAGACCGCCCGUACUUACUAUCCCCCACUCCCUGGACUCUACACCCCUCCCUGGGAUGGACAAUAUGAGGGAAUGGAGGCAGCUUUGGCAGACUGGGAUGCCAGAGAACAUCCAUGGUGCCCCUCCCCAAGAACAACUGGGUGACCCUUGGCCUAGGGACAAAGGCCUUGGUUAUCUCGCCGACCACUGCAUGCCCAUCCCUAGCACAGUGCCUUGCAUGUGCAAUCGAGGACAGGUCCAGACCCGCAGAGGACUCUGGUCAGGAACGCAUCUCUUGCCCAAAAGAACAAGUCUGGUGCAGUCUCGUGUGGAGAGGACUCGGGUGAACAGCCAGAGAAGCCGAGUGGAAGAGAAUGUGGAAAAGUGGAGGAGAAUGAGGAUUUUUAAGGAAACAGGUUUAAGAUGGUGGAAUGGAAGGACUGGAGCUCAACUUCUCUCCUAA